rnacentral:rRNA from 1 species
AACGAACGCUGGCGGCGUGCUUAACACAUGCAAGUCGAACGCGAAAGUCCCUUCGGGGGCAAGUAGAGUGGCGCACGGGUGAGUAACGCGUAGGAACGUACCUAAGGGUGGGGAAUAACCACGGGAAACCGUGGCUAAUACCGCAUAAUAUCGCAAGAUCAAAGGAGGCCUCUACUUGUAAGCUUCCGCCGUUAGAGCGGCCUACGUCCUAUUAGCUAGUUGGUAGGGUAAAAGCCUACCAAGGCGAUGAUGGGUAACUGGUCUGAGAGGAUGAUCAGUCACACUGGAACUGAGACACGGUCCACGACUCCUACGGGAGGCAGCAGUGGGGAAUCUUGCACAAUGGGCGAAAGCCUGAUGCAGCAACGCCGCGUGGGUGAAGAAGGUUUUCGGAUUGUAAAGCCCUUUCGGCUGGGAAGAAGGGCGAAGUGGUUAAUACCCACCUCGUCUGACGGUACCAGAAUAAGAAGCACCGGCUAAUUCCGUGCCAGCAGCCGCGGUAAUACGGAAGGUGCAAGCGUUGUUAC